GAUUUCUCUCUCUCUCCCUCGCUCGCCCGCUCACUCUGAACCCCCUUCUACCCCCACCUCCUUCUCUCUCUCACUCAUUCUCCAUCUCUCUCUCUCACACACACACACACUCUCUCUCUCCAAACACUCUCUCUCUCCUCCUCUGCCUCUCUCUCUCCCUGUCUGUCUGUCUCUCCCUCCCUCGGCUUCACUCGCUCUUGUGCUGUAAGUUCAUUUGCUGUGUCAAGCAACAACUGGCUCGGGAGUGGGCAUUGGGUUUUGAUCCUUUUGUCAAGCGUCCCCUCUGCGAUGUGUACCGCAUCCACCUGCACACCACGGGACUGGCCGCCUGGCUCUCUCUAACGUUGCCGUACCGUCCUGGGUUUAUCACGAUUGGGCAUCCCACCUUGCUGAAACGGGUGGUACAAUGAGAUGCUGAAGGUUUGACGGGGUGAACCUGCUACUGUGGACUAUCACCAUCAUCAUCAGAAUCAUCACAGUGGCAAUGGGAGUCAGGACAUGGACACUCGCUGGAGGACCUCCGCAGGGUCCAUGCAUCCCAGACGAGCCGUUGAGAAGCCCUUGCCUUGCGCUACAAAGCGUCUUCAAUCAAUUGUUUUGAAAAGGCCUUUCCGUUUUCUGACGAUGCCGGCGGUUCUGUUGUUUCUCUCUGUAAAAGACUCUCUUCGGUGACGGGUAUUCUUGGGUGGAUAAUACGGCUCUCGUUGUUAUUGCUUAAGAAUACGCGUAGUCGAGGAGAGUCAUGUCGGCGGCGACUGCAAUGGACUAGAGAGAGCGUUGAAUCCAGAAGGCCCAUCUGCCUGCACACACACAUGCGUUUGCUAACGCCGAGGUUCACGCCCACAUCCAUUUAUUGAGUCAGCGAAGCUGCAUUUCCUGUCUGUGUGUGAUGCUUGUGCUGUUGAUUUAUCCGGCUACUCCUGCUACACAUCUUUUCAGCCAGCGGAAAGGAAAAACUGGGGGUUUUUUGAUUCGCCGUCUUCCCCCCAAAGGCUGUAUAUUGUAACGUCUCAGGCGGAGUUGUAGAUGCAAAUGUGUUCGGUUUGUGCCAUAUAUAUACAUUCUUUUCUCAGGACCGCACACACUCUACCUUUUUAAUGCAAAUUGAUUUUGAAAUGACAUUUAUCGUGCAGGGUUUCCAUAUGGAGCUCCAGGAGGGAUGCAAGGGGAAAAAAUGGAAUGAAAUGUCCACGAAGCCACUGAGAGCUAAAUUUAUGCGGAUUGUAAAGGAACACACUGCAGAUAAACAGUUACCAUGGCUUUAGAUUGACUGCGGCGUGGCAUGCGUAUAUCAUGAAUAUGUAUCAGGAGAGCAUAUGAUGCUGCAUUCUAACCUCCAUGAAAUCCAUUUAGGAAACCUAACAGGAUCUACUUGACUUAUGAAAGCUUAUGAUCAAAUCUUAUAAAUAUCCAUGAGAUAGUUUCAUGUGAAAAAAGUAUUUUUUUGCCUUUUAUAUAGAUGUAUUUUGCAUACUAAAAGAUUGCAUUUCGGACCGGCUGUUGAUUUGUUGACGUGGACGAUUUGUAAAUCUGCAAACAUUUUAAUUUGUUCUCCAUUAUCAUUCGGCAGAUUUAAGUGAUGUAUUAGCAUUUCAGAUAGACUAAAGGCAACAAUCAGCCCGCUCUGUCCUUGAUCACCCUGUAAUUAUCGUUCUUUCGGCUAUGUGUUUAAAUGUGCAGAGAGAAAAGAGGUGUGGAGGAGGAAUAAUGUAAUGUUUUACCACUAGGGGACCCACACAACUGAAAAUCAGAUCAGUUGGUUAACUUUUUAAGUCAUUUUUAUGAUCAUUUUUAAGGUGUUUGGGGUGCAUAGGUUCAAAACUAAUAGAAAUAUCUGUUUAGAUGAAUACUAUUAGAUUUAACAGGUUUUGGCUAUUUAAAAAAAAAAUGUUUUUUAUUCUUAGCAUGUACACUUAAAAUAUAUGGCGUUUUAUUUAUUCCUUUAUUACUUAAUGCUCAACAGUGCCUUAGGAGUGACAAUUGUGAGAAGGGUCACAUGCAACCUUAACAAUUGUCUGUUAUAUUGUCUUAGAUUAACACAUUAAUAUUUUUUUUUUUCACUAAAUAUUCUACCCUCUCAUAGUUUGUGAUGUCUGAAGCAUAUUGAUAGAAUUUCUCUCUGAAAUCAUUUUUAUUGAUGCUGUUGAGUAAAUAUCUCGCUGUAAACUCCUCGCACAGAUUAGCUUCCAUCUGUCUGUGGUUUAUGACGAGAUGAAAUUAUUCAGGCCUCUGCAGCUCAUCUUCAUUUGUUCUUUAUUGAAAUUAUUUUUAUGUGCACGUCAUCUUUGUUCCUCCCCCUCAUAUCAUAAAUAAAGCUUGAUUUAAGUAAAA
ensembl:lncRNA